AUUGAACGCUGGCGGCAGGCUUAACACAUGCAAGUCGAACGGUAACAUAAGAAAAGCUUGCUUUUCUUGAUGACGAGUGGCGGACGGGUGAGUAAUGCUUGGGAAUCUGCCUUAUGGAGGGGGAUAACCACGGGAAACUGUGGCUAAUACCGCGUAAUAUCUACGGAUUAAAGUGUGGGACCUACGGGCCACAUGCCAUAAGAUGAGCCCAAGUGAGAUUAGGUAGUUGGUGAGGUAAAGGCUCACCAAGCUGACGAUCUCUCGCUGGUUUGAGAGGAUGACCAGCCACACUGGGACUGAGACACGGCCCAGACUCCUACGGGAGGCAGCAGUGGGGAAUAUUGCACAAUGGGCGCAAGCCUGAUGCAGCCAUGCCGCGUGAAUGAAGAAGGCUUUCGGGUUGUAAAGUUCUUUCAUUAGUGAGGAAGGUACAAAUGUUAAUAGCAUUUGUAAUUGAUGUUAGCUAAAGAAGAAGCACCGGCUAACUCCGUGCCAGCAGCCGCGGUAAUACGGAGGGUGCGAGCGUUAGUCGGAAUAACUGGGCGUAAAGGGCAUGCAGGCGGUUAUUUAAGUCAGAUGUGAAAGCCCCGAGCUUAACUUGGGAAUUGCAUUUGAUACUGGGUAACUAGAGUCCUCUAGGGAGGGGUAGAAUUCCACGUGUAGCGGUGAAAUGCGUAGAGAUGUGGAGGAAUACCGAAGCGAAGCAACCCCUUGGAGAGAGACUGACGCUCAUAUGCGAAAGCGUGGGUAGCAAACAGG
rnacentral:rRNA from 1 species